CAACAACUAUGUCAAGAAACCCCAUGCAGGUGACAAAACACCAGUGCCAGAUUAACCAUAUGGCAGAAGCGGCAUAUGCCACAUGCCCCACGGUUUUCCCUAUUUCAGUGCAGGGCCCAACCAAACAUAAUGCACACUGCACAGCAGGUAUACACUUUUAGGUAUUACUUGUCAUACUAGAAAAUACAUGCAUGCAGAAACCCUCGCCUUGCUGACAAAACCGUUGUAUUUUCCAGACAUGAAGUAUCUAAAGUAGUUGUCAUGGUAACACGAUAAUUUUUUAAGAAUAUUCUUACAAAUGAAAAUCGCCUAAAAAUAUCACUUUUAAUUACAAAAUUACAGCCAUUUUCGUCCAAGCACAAACCGCAAACAUUUUCGCGCGUUUGUUUACGUUUGAAACGGGGCGUUUACCGUUGGAAACUGAAAUGUUUCACCGCUCAUGUGACGUGUCACAUUGAAAAGCCUUAAGGCGCUAUUUUUGGCGCAACCUUCAUGUUUUGAUGUGCCUCCGUGCACGUUUCAAUAUGUCCAAGCCCAUGAUAAUGGCAUAUUGUAAACACUGGACUGGACUUUGGACUUUGGACUAUGGACUUUGGACUAUGGACUUUGGACUUUGGACUUUGGACUUUCGAUUUUGAAAUUAUAUUUUUAAAAUAUUCGUAUAAUUAUAUUAAUUAAAAUCUAAACAGAAAACGAAAAUUUGUGCAUGAUACAAUAUUCGGUAAAAGGUAAAAAAUACUGUCAGUUAUAUAGGUAUACCAGUGCAAUUUCAUAGAUAUAGCCUGUGGGAUAACAGGAUCAUCUCAGUAAUAUUUU